GGUGGGGGCUGGGCAAAAGGAGGGAGAGGAGAGGAUGGGGAAACGCGCGCCCCAAGAGCGAAAGCAAACAUCUAGCUGUGGAGGCGCUGCCCGCAGCUCAGGCUUCCCAACAGGUUAGCUAGACUGAGAUCCACCUGGUAUUUCGCAGGAAGGGGGGGGCAGAGGAGGAGAGAGUCUUACUAGGAGACAGAGGGAGGAGAUAG
ensembl:misc_RNA